rnacentral:rRNA from 1 species
AAUCAACGCUGGCGGCGUGCCUAACACAUGCAAGUCGAACGAGAAAGUCCCGCAAGGGAUGAGUAAAGUGGCGUACGGGUGAGUAACACGUGGAUAACCUACCUUUGAGCGGGGAAUAACCCUGGGAAACCGGGGAUAAUACCGCAUAAUAUCCUGGGACGAUGGUCUUGGAAUUGAAACUCGAAAGAGACUCGAAGAGGGGUCCGCGGCUGAUUAGCUAGUUGGUGAGGUAAUGGCCCACCAAGGCUAUGAUCGGUAGCCGGCCUGAGAGGGCGGACGGCCACACUGGAACUGAAACACGGUCCAGACUCCUACGGGAGGCAGCAGUGGGGAAUUUUGCACAAUGGCCUAACGGCUGACGCAGCGACGCCGCGUGAGGGAUGACGCUCUUC